UACUAGGAGGCUCAAGCGUUGUUCGGAUUCAUUGGGCGUAAAGGGUGCGUAGGUGGCGCUGUAAGUCGGGGUGUGAAAACUCCGAGCUCAACUCGGAAAUGGCAUUGGAAACUACCCUUGCUCGAGGGGUUUGAGGGGGGACUGGAAUACUUGGUGUAGCAGUGAAAUGCGUAGAUAAUCAAGUAGAACACCAGUGGCGAAGGCGAGGUCCCUGGAAAAACUCCUGACACUGAGGCAAGCGAA
rnacentral:rRNA from 1 species